rnacentral:rRNA from 1 species
GACGAACGCUGGCGGCGUGCCUAACACAUGCAAGUCGAGCGAAUGAAGUUCCUUCGGGAAUGGAUUUAGCGGCGGACGGGUGAGUAACACGUGGGCAACCUGCCUCAUAGAGGGGAAUAGCCUUCCGAAAGGGAGAUUAAUACCGCAUAAGAUUGUAGUACCGCAUGGUACAGCAAUUAAAGGAGCAAUCCGCUAUGAGAUGGGCCCGCGGCGCAUUAGCUAGUUGGUGAGGUAACGGCUCACCAAGGCGACGAUGCGUAGCCGACCUGAGAGGGUGAUCGGCCACAUUGGGACUGAGACACGGCCCAGACUCCUACGGGAGGCAGCAGUGGGGAAUAUUGCACAAUGGGGGAAACCCUGAUGCAGCAACGCCGCGUGAGUGAUGACGGCCUUCGGGUUGUAAAGCUCUGUCCUCAGGGAUGAUAAUGACGGUACCUGAGGAGGAAGCCGACGGCUAACUACGUGCCAGCAGCCGCGGUAAAGUAACUAC